AUGGAGGGGGAGGCGAGCAAGAGGCUGGCCACGCUGGUGGGCUGCAACUACGUGGGCACGCGCUACGAGCUCCGCGGCUGCAUCAACGACGUCGACGCCGUGCGGGCCGCCCUCGUCGCCCGCUUCGGCUUCGCGCCGGCCGACGUCGCCGUGCUCACCGACGGGGACGGGCGCGGCGCCGAGGUGCUCCCGACGGGGGCCAACAUCCGCCGCGCGCUCGCGGACAUGGUCGCCCGCGCCGCCCCCGGGGACGUGCUCUUCUUCCACUACAGCGGCCACGGCACGCUCGUCCCGCCGCGCCACGGCGACGGCGGCGCGGAGGAGGAGGCCAUCGUGCCCACCGACUUCAACCUCAUCACGGACGUGGACUUCCGGCAGCUGGUGGACCGGGUGCCGCCGGGCGCGAGCUUCACCAUUGUGUCCGACUCGUGCCACAGCGGCGGCCUCAUCGACCAGGAGAAGGAGCAGAUCGGGCCCUCCGUCGGCUCCGGCCCCGGCGCGCCGUCCGCGCGCACCGCCCGGUUCCUUCCCUACGGCGCGCUCCUGGACCACCUCUCCGCCGUCUCGGGCAUGCCUUCCUCCCACCACGUCGCCGACCACCUCGUGGCGCUCUUCGGCGCCGACGCCAGCGCCAAGUUCCACGUUCACGGCGGCGGCGGCAACGGCAGCGCCCUGUCCACCACGCCCGCACCGGCGCCAACGCCGCCGCGCCCGGACGAGGGCAUCCUGCUGAGCGGGUGCCAGACGAACGAGACCUCUGCGGACGUGCCGGCGUACGAGGCCAGCGGAGGCAAGGCAUGCGGGGCGUUCAGCAGCGCGGUGCAGAGCGUGCUGGCGGCGCACCAGGCGCCGCUGAGCAACCGGGAGCUCGUGGCGAAGGCCAGGGCGGUGCUGGAAGAGCAGGGGUUCGAGCAGCACCCGUGCCUCUACUGCACCGACGCCAACGCCGAGGCGCCGUUCCUUUCGCAGGACAAGAAGGAGGAGACAGCGGUGGGCGCGGCAAGCCCGGCCAUGUCGCCGGCGCUGCUGUAG
rnacentral:rRNA from 1 species